GCCGGGGUGGUGGAAUUGGUAGACACGCAAGACUUAAAAUCUUGUGACCCUUGGGUCGUGCGGGUUCAAGUCCCGCCCCUGGUACAA
rnacentral:tRNA from 1 species